rnacentral:misc_RNA from 1 species
AAUAUCAUAUGCCCAUCCAGGGCCUACAAGAACCUAAUCUAGGUCCAAAUGUCCAAACUUGAGCUCGGAUCCCUAACUCUUCAACAGUCUAAACAAUUAUCUCCGGUGCUCUAAAAAUUAUGAAAAUAUUUCUGAAGGUCCUUUACAUCAUCCUUAUAUUAUCUAAAUUCAUUUUACUUCAUUUCACUCUAUCAGGAAUAUUUUACAACUUAAUCAGCUAGCUUAACUAAGGU